CAUGCCGCGGCAUUCAUGUAGUUGCUAUGUCUUGUAACGUUACAACGUUCCACCUCCUUAUUAUAAUUCAUCCUUUUGUCUUCCUUUGUGUUUUACUCCUCAUAUAUAGAUUUUUUCUUUAUUUUGUUUCUUUGACAUUUGAAUUAAUUUUCGUUCCAAACCUUUUCGUUUCAGUUAACAUUUCAUCCUGCAGUCUUUCCAUUCAGAUUAAGUUUCCAUUCGCUAUGCAAAAAUUAAGUUCCGCACUUCAAUUGUUCUAGCUCCUGUCCUAUUCCCUUAACGCACUUCAAAUAAUAAUUUUCUGAAACCUGAACUAUUUAUUGUAAUUAGCGAGCAUUAAAUAUUCGUCAGUACUAGUUUUUCUCCAAUAUGUUAACCACUUAAAAAUGAGUGCCUUCGGAUAAUUUGCUCUCUUUUGAAUAAAACUUGAAAUUAGUAAAACCAAUGUAAUAUUAUCUGUAACAAGAGGUGUUUCCCAACUUAUUUGGGUCGCUGGGAAGAGCCCAUGUACCAGUCUAUACAAAUCAAAUACCAUCUAGCCGCCGUUUUGCACCGCUGACCAUGAAACUACAGUAAAGGCCUGCACCGUCAGUCAACAGGGCUACGUGGAGCCGAAGUUCCUCCAAGACCAGAAGACAGCAACGGAGAUCCCUCGACGCCUCGACGAUCGCAUAAGAUAAGUAGCCUCUUGCAGUUAGAUGUUCGCAAAGUGCUGCUGAAUGAACUAUUUUCUUGACAACAAGUCUUUUUAUUGUUAAUAAAUUUCAAUUUUCCUUUAUUCAAUAUUUUGAAUGGCGAUAAUGUGUAUUUAAUAGAUUUAAUAAGGUCAAUAAAUGAAUAUGUGAA
rnacentral:lncRNA from 1 species